GAUGAACGCUAGCGGCAGGCUUAACACAUGCAAGUCGAGGGGCAGCACGGUGUAGCAAUACAUGGGUGGCGACCGGCGCACGGGUGCGCAACGCGUAUCCAACCUUCCCGUUACUCAGGGAUAGCCUUCCGAAAGGGAGAUUAAUACCUGAUGGUGUUUGAAUUCCGCAUGUUAUUCAAACUAAAGAUUUAUCGGUAACGGAUGAGGAUGCGUGACAUUAGAUAGUAGGCGGGGUAACGGCCCACCUAGCCGACGAUCUUUAGGGGUUCUGAGAGGAAGGUCCCCCACACUGGUACUGAGACACGGACCAGACUCCUACGGGAGGCAGCAGUGGGGAAUAUUGGGCAAUGGGUGAAAGCCUGACCCAGCGACGCCGCGUGAAGGAAGAAGUAUUUCGGUAUGUAAAGCUCUAUCAGCAGGGAAGAAAAAUAACCAAAUUGACUGUACCUGACUAAGAAGCCCCGGCUAACUACGUG
rnacentral:rRNA from 1 species